rnacentral:rRNA from 1 species
AACGAACGUUGGCGGCGUGGAUUAGGCAUGCAAGUCGUACGCGAAAGAGGGAGCAAUCCCUUGAGUAAAGUGGCGAACGGGUGAGUAACGCGUAGGAAACCUGCCUUCGAGAUGGGGAUAACACUCCUAACGGGGUGCUAAUACCGAAUGACACUGCGGGAUCGCAUGGUUCUGCAGUCAAAGGUGGCCUCUGCUUGCAAGCUACCACUCGGAGAUGGUCCUGCGUCCCAUUAGCUAGUUGGCGGGGUAAUGGCCCACCAAGGCGACGAUGGGUAGCCGAUCUGAGAGGAUGACCGGCCACACUGGGACUGAGAUACGGCCCAGACUCCUACGGGAGGCAGCAGUCGAGAGGCUUCGGCAAUGGGGAAACCCUGACCGAGCGACGCCGCGUGGAGGAUGAAGGCCUUUGGGUUGUAAACUCCUGUCGCAAGGGAAAAGCGACACGACCUAAUACGUCGAGGAGUUGAUUGUACCUGCGGAGGAA